rnacentral:rRNA from 1 species
GUACACGCUGUGACUAGCAUAUCAAUAAGCGGAGGAAAAGAAACUAACAAGGAUUCCCCUAGUAACGGCGAGUGAGGCGGGAAGAGCUCAAAUUUGAAAUCUUAAAGGGUUUCCCUUUACGAAUUGUAGUUUAAAGAAGUGUUUUCUGUUGAGGUUUUGGUAAAAGUUCUUUGGAAUAGGACAUCAUAGAGGGUGAGAAUCCCGUAUUUGACCUUUACUUUCAACUUUGUGAUACACUUUCAAAGAGUCGGAUUGUUUGGGAAUGCAGUCCAAAAUGGGUGGUAAAUUUCAUCUAAAGCUAAAUAUUGGCGAGAGACCGAUAGCGAACAAGUACCGUGAGGGAAAGAUGAAAAGAACUUUGAAAAGAGAGUUAAACAGUACGUGAAAUUGUCAAAAGGGAAGCGCUUGACACCAGUGUUGUUUUUCUGAAAAUCAAUUAAAGAACUGUUUAUGCUAAGCUUGUUUAGACUUUAUCAGCUAAUCUGUUUAGUUUUGAGCUUUUCUUUAAUGCACUUUUCAGUUAACAAGUCAACAUCAAUUUCUUUUGCUGUAAAAAAGCUUGAGGAAGGUGGCUUGAGAUUCGUCUUAAGUGUUUAUAGCCUCUUGCCUAUGCAGUCGGAGAGAUUGAGGUCUGCAGCGUAGAUCCUUCGGGGCUAAAUGCAUUUGUGCUAAGUUAUAGCAUUUCAUAGACAACUUGUUGACUAUGAUUUGUCUUGUAGCUUACUCGCUUAUGUUAUUUUACCUACGCUUAGGAUGUUGAUAUCGCGCUCUCACUG